rnacentral:misc_RNA from 1 species
CCGAGUGUGGGGGCCCCCGGCCCCCGACCUCCCAACCCUUUGAUUUGAUCAAGACCUCGUUUUGCCUCGGGGGCGACCCGGCCUUCGGGCCGCCGGUCCCCCCGGUGGUCACCCCAUUCAACCCUGCAUCAAUUGUCGUCCGAGUCGAAUUGUGAAUACCAAUCA